rnacentral:rRNA from 1 species
GACGAACGCUGGCGGCGUGCUUAACACAUGCAAGUCGAACGAAGUGGCGAACGGGUGAGUAACGCGUAAUCAACCUGCCCUUCAGAGGGGGACAACAGUGGGAACCGACUGCUAAUACCGCAUACUGAAGGGGGGGAUGGCGUCGGAUUAGCUGGGUGGAGGGGUAACGGCCCACCAAGGCGACGAUCAGUCGCCGGUCUGAGAGGAGGAACCGCCACCUUGGGACUUGAGAACGGCCCCGAACCCUACGGGGGGGAGCAGUGGGGGAACUUUCGCAAUGGAGGGCAGUCUGACGGAGGAAAGCCGCGGGAGUGGUGAAGGGCUUCGGGUUGGAAAGCUAUGUUAAGCGGGAAGCGGUACCGGAAUAGAAAGCAACGGCUAACUACGUGCCAGCAGCCGCGGUAAUUC